GACGAACGCUGGCGGCGUGCUUAACACAUGCAAGUCGAACGAUGAAGCCUCUUCGGGGGUGGAUUAGUGGCGAACGGGUGAGUAACACGUGGGCAAUCUGCCCUGCACUUCGGGACAAGCCCUGGAAACGGGGUCUAAUACCGGAUGGGACUGCCGGCCGCAUGGUCUGGUGGUGGAAAGCUUCGGCGGUGCAGGAUGAGCCCGCGGCCUAUCAGCUUGUUGGUGGGGUGAUGGCCUACCAAGGCUGCGACGGGUAGCCGGCCUGAGAGGGCGACCGGCCACACUGGGACUGAGACACGGCCCAGACUCCUACGGGAGGCAGCAGUGGGGAAUAUUGCACAAUGGGCGGAAGCCUGAUGCAGCGACGCCGCGUGAGGGAUGACGGCCUUCGGGUUGUAAACCUCUUUCAGCAGGGAAGAAGCCUUAAACAGUGACGGUACCUGCAGAAGAAGCACCGGCUAACUACGUGC
rnacentral:rRNA from 1 species